rnacentral:rRNA from 1 species
AAUGAACGCUGGCGGCGUGGUUAAGACAUGCAAGUCGAACGGUUUUUAUUGAAGCGCAAGUGGAUAUAAAAGCAGUGGCGAACGGGUGCGUAACACGUGAACAAUCUACCUUCAAAUGGGGAAUAGCUCGCCGAAAGGCGAAUUAAUACCGCAUGUGGUUGCUUCUCGCAUGAGAGGCAUACCAAAGUCAGGGACCGCAAGGCCUGACGUUAGAAGAGGAGUUCGCGGCCUAUCAGCUAGUUGGCGGGGUAACGGCCCACCAAGGCGACGAUCAGUAGCCGGCCUGAGAGGGUGAUCGGCCACACUGGAACUGAGACACGGUCCAGACUCCUACGGGAGGCAGCAGUGGGGAAUUUUGCGCAAUGGACGAAAGUCUGACGCAGCAACGCCGCGUGGGUGAUGAAGGUCUUCGGAUUGUAAAACCCUGUCGCCAGGGACGAAGGGUGAGGUGUGAAUAGCGCCUUACUUUGACGGUACCU